rnacentral:lncRNA from 1 species
CUCGGCCACACACGCGGACCGACGAGGCGCACACACGUACCGACCGACAGCAGACAGACGAGCUUGGGCGGGAUCCGGUGUGUUGGGGGCGGCACCUGCGGCCGGGUGUAGUGGGAGCUGCAGAGACCCGCCCGCGGUGCCCUUUGGGGCUGGGCGGCGCGGCUGCCUAUCCCUGCCUACUCCGGCGAGUUACCUGCGGCCCGGAGAGGCCACGUGAUCAGGACGGCCCAGGGAACCCCGCGGGAGGGCCAAAACCCUGCCCAGGAGGCAAGAGCUCACUUCUGCCGAGGCGUGCGCUCGCCGGCUGGAGUCCCACCUCUUGCUGCAGUCCGGCGAGACUCCUGGGACAAAUCCAUUCUUUCUCCUACUUCCUCUCUAGCAGGCACUCUGAGUCCUCCGCAAAAGAAUGUGCAGGAUCAGAGGCCUCUUUCCAUUCUGCAAGGGUCACGCAAGACCCAUGGAAUUCAACAGGAGGCAAUCUAGGGACUAUAAAAGGUCGCGACGUCUGGCUUGAGGUUAAUGGAAGUUACAAAGGGUCAAAAGCCGACAGUGAGCGCUACCAGGUGUCGGGUCGGCGUAGUGCCGGUAGUGCAAGGCGCACGUUACUGUGGACCUGAAGGCUCAGGCCUUGGUGCCAAGCCUCCGAGCAAGGCUCCCCUUUCAACCUGUAGACCUCGCCUCCCGAUUCUCAGGAGAUCUUGCUGACUGUGGAAUCCCUGGCUGUUCCGAACCCCCUGGAAAGAAGCGUCUGUUCCCAGGUUUCUGCAAGGUAACGAAUCUGAAGAGCCAACAGAAUUGGGCGGCUCCAUUCAUUCGACUCUGGUUCUCUCAACCAGGCAUUCCCCAUAUUAAAACAAUUCCAGAACUUCAAAGUCUUUGGUAUUUUGCUUUAUCACCUUUAUUUGUUUUUGUGUAGGCACGCACAAGGCACAGUGCCAGGGUGGAGGUCCGAGAACAGCUUGUGGGACUUGGUCCUCUCCUUCCACAAAUGGGUCCUGGGCACAGAACUCAAGCAAGCCCUCUUACAUCCCCGUUUUGUUUCUAUACCUGUCUGGCAGGUACCCAUGUACUCGAUAGAUAGUUGAAGAUGACCUUGCAAGUCUGAUUUUCUUGCCUUCACCUCUCAAGUGCUUAGGAACCCAGCUAGAAGUGCCUCGGCACUCAUAGCUACAAGAUCCAAGAUAGUUUGGGCUCAGUUUUGAAAGUUCCAGGCCCUAAAUCAACAAAGCCAAUAAGAUUAGUAGCUGAGGGUGAUGGGUUUGUAAUCACCACAGGAGUUCCAG